rnacentral:rRNA from 1 species
AACGAACGCUGGCGGCAUGCCUAACACAUGCAAGUCGAACGAGACCUUCGGGUCUAGUGGCGCACGGGUGCGUAACGCGUGGGAACCUGCCCUUAGGUUCGGAAUAACUCCCCGAAAGGGGUGCUAAUACCGGAUAAUGUCUUCGGACCAAAGAUUUAUCGCCUUUGGAUGGGCCCGCGUUGGAUUAGCUAGUUGGUAGGGUAAAAGCCUACCAAGGCGACGAUCCAUAGCUGGUCUGAGAGGAUGAUCAGCCACACUGGGACUGAGACACGGCCCAGACUCCUACGGGAGGCAGCAGUGGGGAAUAUUGGACAAUGGGCGAAAGCCUGAUCCAGCAAUGCCGCGUGAGUGAUGAAGGCCUUAGGGUUGUAAAGCUCUUUUACCCGGGAUGAUAAUGACAGUACCGGGAGAAUAAGAACCGGCUAACUCCGUG